AUUGAACGCUGGCGGCAUGCCUAACACAUGCAAGUCGAACGCGUCGCGGACGUGUGUGUCAUGUCUCUGACCCUCCCUGAUGGCGGGGGAUACCUACUGGAACCGGUGGCUAAUCCCGCAUACCAUUCGCUGGGCCAUGAUGGGAGUAGCUAGUAGGUGGGGUAAAGGCUCACCAAGGCCACGAUCCCUAGCUGGUCUGAGAGGAUGACAGGCCAAACUGGAACUGAGACACGGUCCAGAGUCCUACGGGAGGCAGCAGUGGGGAAUAUUGCACAAUGGGCGCAAGCCUGAUGCAGCCAUGCCGCGUGUAUGAAGAAGGCCUUCGGGUUGUAAAGUACUUUCAGCGGGGAGGCGGUACCUAAAGAGUAAGCACCGGCUAACUCCGUGCCAGCAGCCGCGGUAAUUC
rnacentral:rRNA from 1 species